UUGACCUCGGAUCAGGUAGGGAUACCCGCUGAACUUAAGCAUAUCAAUAAGCGGAGGAAAAGAAACCAACCGGGAUUGCCUCAGUAACGGCGAGUGAAGCGGCAAGAGCUCAAAUUUGAAAGCUGGCCCCUUCGGGGUCCGCGUUGUAAUUUGCAGAGGAUGCUUUGGGUGCGGCCCCCGUCUAAGUGCCCUGGAACGGGCCGUCAGAGAGGGUGAGAAUCCCGUCUUGGGCGGGGUGUCCGUGCCCGUGUAAAGCUCCUUCGACGAGUCGAGUUGUUUGGGAAUGCAGCUCUAAAUGGGUGGUAAAUUUCAUCUAAAGCUAAAUACUGGCCGGAGACCGAUAGCGCACAAGUAGAGUGAUCGAAAGAUGAAAAGCACUUUGAAAAGAGAGUUAAACAGCACGUGAAAUUGUUGAAAGGGAAGCGCUUGCGACCAGACUCGCCCUCGGGGUUCAGCCGGCACUCGUGCCGGUGUACUUCCCCGGGGGCGGGCCAGCGUCAGCUUGGGCGGCCGGUCAAAGGCCUCCGGAAUGUAGUGCCCCCCGGGGCACCUUAUAGCCGGAGGUGCAAUGCGGCCAGCCUGGGCUGAGGAACGCGCUUCGGCACGGACGCUGGCAUAAUGGUCGCAAACGAC
rnacentral:rRNA from 1 species